AAGGGUAUAGCUCAGUGGUAGAGCACUUGCUUAGCAUGCAUGAAGUCCUGGGUUCACUCCCCAGUGCCUCCA
rnacentral:tRNA from 1 species